GACGAACGCUGGCGGCGUGCCUAAUACAUGCAAGUAGAACGCACAGUUUAUACCGUAGCUUGCUACACCAUAGACUGUGAGUUGCGAACGGGUGAGUAACGCGUAGGUAACCUGCCUGGUAGCGGGGGAUAACUAUUGGAAACGAUAGCUAAUACCGCAUAAUAUUAAUUAUUGCAUGAUAAUUAAUUGAAAUGUGCAAUUGCACCACUACCAGAUGGACCUGCGUUGUAUUAGCUAGUAGGUGAGGUAACGGCUCACCUAGGCGACGAUACAUAGCCGACCUGGGAGGGUGGUCGGCCACACUGGGAAUGAGACAAGGCACAGACUCCUACGGGAGGGAGCAGUAGGGAAUCUUCGGCAAUGGACGAAAGUCUGACCGAGCAACGCCGCGUGAGUGAAGAAGGUUUUCGGAUCGUAAAGCUCUGUUGUAAGAGAAGAACGGGUGUGAGAGUGGAAAGUUCACACUGUGACGGUAUCUUACCAGAAAGGGACGGCUAACUACGUG
rnacentral:rRNA from 1 species